CGUCAAUUUAAUACAUUCUGUUGUCGGAUUCUAUACACUCUUGGAAAGAUUUCAAAAACGUUAGGAAGAAGUUGAGAAGAUAAAAAAUGAAUAGGCUAAAACUGUUUUCGUUUUUCCUGCUGUUUAUUAUCACUUCGGGUAAGUUCAUAGCUAUAUUUCCAAUAUGUUUUAGUAGCUAAUAACUGUAUUAAUUCUGGGAGAAUUUUGAAAUAUACUACAACAAGAAGAUAUGAGUUGUUUGUUUGUGGUGUUUCCACAAACAAACUAUUAUAUGUUUUAUCGCCAUGCAAACAUACAAAGAACUUAUAAUGUUGUUUGAGUUUGAAUCAUGCGUUCUAUAGUUUAAAGUUAUGUGCCUUUAUGAGUUUAUGAUCAUUUCCCAAGUUUGUUUAUGCCAAAUUCCUUACAAAAGGAUUAAAAACUGUUGACAAAAUGGAUUUGAAUUUUAAGGAAAGCGAUUUUGUCAGGCAUAUAAUAAAUAAAUAAUCGGCGGCUCAUGCAAUUUUGGCACCGACAUUUUUCAAAUAUCAGUCGUAGUGUUAAUCAUUAAUUUGCACUCCUUCCUGUGUGAUUACCUACUUAAUAAUAUACAUAAAGAUAUUACUCGACUGUGAUUGGUUGAUUUCAGUGCAGUUAAUCCCAGCAGUGCAAUUUUCUGUAAUCACAAUGCAAUUUUCUGCAAUCACAGUGCAAUUUUUUGUAAUCACAGUGCAAUUUUCUGUAAUCACAGUGCAAAAAUUUGUAGCAAACUGAUCUGAUUGGUGGAAAAACAUUGUGAUGAUUAAAUGAACCAAUCAGUUUAAAGCAAUUUAGUUUAAAGAAGUAACGUCAAAAAACCAAACAAAACAAACAUGGCGCCGCGCUACACAAAGUAAGAGUUGCCUUUGCGUGGAAAAUAUGGCUUUUAUCUUUAUUUUUAAAUGGAAAAGCAUUUACUUUAAACAAGACUAACAAAAAUUACAUAGUUGGUUGGAAUUUUCCACCUGUUAAUUAGCGUUGUAUAAUGUGAUAUAACAAAGCCAGGAAAACUUUGCCAGUAGAAUGUUCGCUAUAAACGCGUAAGUUAAAACUACAAUUGUCUCGAACAUUUUUAUGUAAAUUAUAUUAAUAUGUAUAUAUAUAAUACCAUGGUUUCUCGUGAAAUUUGGAUAAACAUGCACUCGUGAGUUUUUUCAAAGACCUCAAAUAGCACUCGUCCUAUUUUGAAGUCUUUGAAAAAAUCACUCGUGCAUGUUAUAUCCAAAUUGCAGAGGAAACCAUGCUAUUACCAUGGAUAAUAAAAUAAAUGGAUAGGACUCUAGUUGACGUAAGCAAAAACAACCUAGCUGCAAUCUGUGACGUCACGCGUAUUGCAAAGUUCUCGGCAUUUUUGUUGUUUCGCUAUACUUUCCGCUUUAAAAGAGUAAUAUUGAAGCAUAAACUGGUCUAAUUGUUUUAAAAACAUGCCUAAGCCACGACAAAGUAUUCAAGGUAAAAGUUUUUCGUCUUUGUUUUGUAUUUUUUUACAUUUGUAGCUAUGAAAUUGGCGUCCCCAAUUUUAACGAAAUUUGCGAUGCAUUUUUUCACUGUUUAGUGCUUGAAAUAUUUGCUAAAAUUGACUGGGAAUACUUAGAGAUUUCAUCGUAGAAUGGCGUAGUCAUAUUUAUUUGCUCUUUGACUAAAAUAUUUAGCUAUAUUAUUGCUAAACAUGCCGUUUUUGAGAAUUUGGUUUGCAACUAGGUUUCAACAUCUAACCAUGCACGCCAUCAGCCCAUUGAAAACACUAGAUCACGUCAGCUAGUUUCCUAUCCAUUUAUUUUAUUAUCCAUGCUAUUACCUAUACUAACCAAAGGAGGAUCGAUGGAUAGUUGUAAUGAGCACAAAAAAUGCAAAAAUUCUUUCAAAUCCAAUAAAAAUGUGUUGUGUUGAAAAUAUUCCAGGAACUGUUUCCUUUGAGGUGUCGAUAUUGCGUUGUGAAUGCAGACUUGCGGUGGCGUAGUGACGUUACAAGUCUUUAUUAUUGGGAAGCAAAAUUUUUACCGAUAUCCGCAUGAUCGUUGCAACUUCGAGAGAAAAAUGGGGGAAAUGUUCGCGUAUAAUGGAUGCCACAAAUUAAAGGCAGAAUUCACAAUUUAUAUACGUUAUAACAGAUCCAUGCAGUUACUUAUUGAGGAGUAUUUUUUCUUUCAGUCUCAAUUUUAUAAACGAUUAUAUAAUUAUUUCGAUAAUUAUUCUUUGGUUGAAAUAAUUGACUAUGCUUUUAUUUAGGCCUACUCGCCCGGAGAUAAUGCGCGAAAACUGCAACUUAUAAGUAAUGCGAAUUUGAGCGAUAUAUAGGGCGAAUUUUAUGGAAUGCACGCAACUUAAAGUGUUUCAAUUACGGUAAUUUCAGAAAUAUAAAACUAUCAUCCCAUAUGAGUCCAGAGAAAUUACUAUACCAUUUACCCAUGCCAAAUUAGCCGAACGUCCGAGUUUCCGCACACAUAUGCAAUGUAUGAAGCAAAAUAUACUUAUUAAAUUGGAACAUGUACAUUUGAUAUAAAAAUAAUUCAUUAUUCAUCCAUUGCUUACUUCGAAGCUUUUGGGUAUUUUCUAUUUUAAAUUUUCAAGCGUGUACGGUACAAAAUUGCAAUGCAACAACAUAAUAAAUUACACAUUUCUUACCAAUUUGUGUUGAGUUAAUUAAGAUUGGAAAUCAAAUGACCUCAAAUAUUAUUUACAAAUCAAAGCAAUAGAAUAUACUAAAAGAAAUAAUUUUACAAAACAGUAAUUGUGGAUCACAUUGAAAAGUCAUGUUCGGACAAUUUUUUUCCCAAUCGAUCACUUAAAUUUGGAAGGUGAUCUUUAAAUUAAUUAAACAUGCCUUUUGAAUUUCACAUGGAUGCCACUUUUCAGAUUUGUCGUCCCCAUACAGAAAACAUUGUUUCGUGAAAUUCCCAAACAAUUCGUAUUAAGCAAUUAAAGUUAUUGAUGCAGUCUCCAUAAAAACAAGAGUUUUAGUGUUAAUUAAUCUUGCAUGUGAAAAGUAACUGGAGAAGAUAGGGCAUCAAACUUUGUUUUAAAAAUUAGAUGAUUUUUUUUAAAGUUUCCUUCGUUUCCGUUCAGAAAAUACUCCCACUAUAGGUCAAAUUCCAGGAAGGACUAUAUAACUCCGAUAAAACAAAAGAUAGAAACGUUCUGAAAGAAGCCUGAUUAAUAUUGACUAAAGUCUGGUUUAUCUCAGUAAAAUAUGAGCUGAUUUUAUUUUUCCUUUCCAAAACCGGUGGGCGGAUUUUGGUGAGAGGCCCUUUUAUGUUUAACAGGGGGGAAGGGGGAUUCACUUCAAAAUGUCCAGGAAAAGUUUAUUUUUCACGAUUUGUGGAAAAUUCCAACAUCGAAUCCUGGUUUUAUUGAACGUCAAAACUGAUUUUCAUUUACCUAUGCCAAUAAAUUGAGGAUUUUCCGUUUCGUAUUGUGAAAUUUAAAAUGACAAAAAGUGAAUGUACCGAAGAGCAACGAGGCUGGCGCUUAAACACACACAUUGAUUUUGAGCUUUUAGUCGUUGAUUUAACUCGCAAGAACUGGAAAAAGUCAAUGUUCUUAUAAUGUCAUCUAAAUUUUAAUCCAUUUGUUUGUUCGUUUGUUUAUUUGUUCAUUUUUUUUCAAAUUACCUUUUUUACAAUUAACCAUAACUGAAGGUAAUCCCUACAGCGUUUAUUACUUUAUUUACAAGGUCCGCAAGAUUUUUCUCGAGAUUUACUGUACCCAGAUUAUACUUCCAAGUCUCCGAGGAAACCGAUUUUUAAAAUUUCCUGAAAAACGAAUAGGGUGUUCAAAAGGACCCUGUCAGCGGUAGUUACCGUGAAAAUAGGCCUCAGUGGCAUAGUAUUGCGUCAACUGAUAAUGUCAAAAUCGGCCAUGUUUUUGGGAUCUUUUUUCUUGUGCCGAGCAUUUUUUCAAUAAUAUAACUUGAGCUCACUCAUUUUAUCUUGAUGCCCAAAGCUCAGUUUGUAUUUACAGUUCACAAGUAUAUUUCUUUAUAUAGAUGCAAGUGAUGACGCUCAAUUGGAGAAACGGUCCUCAACUGGUAUAUAAAUUAUCAUUCAUUUUUAUAGCUAAUCAAUCUUCAUCUAUAUUGUUUAUACGUACCUACAGUAGUAUACAUUAUACUGUAAAAUCAGGCUUGAUGAUAAAUAUAUAUAUAUAUAUAUAUAUAUAUAUAUAUAUAUAUAUAUAUAUAUAUAUAUAUAUAUAUAUAUAUAUAUAUAUAUAUAUAUAUAUAUAUGUAUAUAUAGAGCUAUAGUUUUUUGUUCACUUCGUUCAAUAAGGUUCCUUUCCUUGCGAAGCAAUCUAUAGCGUUUGAUGCUUCCCCUCUCUCCCUAAUUGUUUUAGCCUUGCUUAAAACGUUUGUCAAAUGAGCUCUAUGUUCUUUUCGUAAUUAAGCGCUGAAUUUUUGAGUUUCUUCCAUCCUGGUCACGCCAUGCCAUCAACAAUGUCAUAAAAGACGAGAACCAGUUUCGUUUUGGUUAAAUAUAUUUUGAUGGAUCGGAAAUAUUACAGAACUUUAUGCUUAGUUAAAAUAUAAACUACUAAUAUAAGCUUCUAAAAGUGCGCGAAAAGACUGUCAUGUGACUGAAGCACAGCUAAUCCAAACUAAAUGUCUAGUAAAUAUCAAUGUUCUAAUCUAUGGUUUAAUCUAAUAUUAUUCAACAGUAUUCAAUAUCUAUAUACAAUUUGAAAUAUUUCCUUUCACAGUGUGCAUUAAUAAUUGCCGUUCUGCCUGCCGAACAAUUGGCACAUUUGAAGGAUUCUGUAAUCAAAUUUGCCCGAAUGUUGUAAGUCUUAAAAUUUAUAUACGUCAUGUUUUAAAAUUAUGCUCGAAUAAUUCGACUGGUUUAAUUACGAAAAUUAUGCCGGUUUUUGUUAAAUUAUACCGAUUUACGCCAGAAAAGUCAAAUGAGCAAUUACGCAAGCAGUGCCUUUCCAUAUAAAGUACCAAAGAUAUGGCUCGUGUACCCAAAUCAUGCCAAACCAUGUGCUAGCAGAAUCGAGAAAAGCCUAUUUGUGACCAUAAAAAUGCUUAAAAAUAAUGCAUUGUUGACAACGUGUUUCUACAGCAGGUCAUGUGAUUGUCGGACAUUUUACGAUGUUGAACAGGAAGCAUAUGCAACUUGUAUCAGAAAUCUUACUAGAUAAGUUCGGUCAGUAAAACCUCGCGCGAUUGCUUGCUCCUGCAUAACUUUGGCAUAUUAAAUGUUUUCCUCCCAGUAAUUCUGUUGGUUAUAGUUCCACAUAGGCUUUUGCUAUGGCUGUAUGGCAACACACGUACGCAACUCACUCUAAAUUGUAGUCCAUUCAUUCACGUUGUUGGGGAAAAGCUCAGUGACCACAUUCUUUCCGCGCAUGAUUUUAUUUUGAACAUUAAUAACACUAAAAAAAGUGGUAAUCUCGUUUCUUCAAUUUGAUACAGAAUAUUUUUCCUCAGCGUAAAACGUUCAUAUCUCAAAAGUUCAAGGUACCUUGGUGAACUCGUUUUCGAGUUAUAUUCAUUGUAUUAUUUCCGGUCCUCUGCGACAUAAAUGAUUUGUCAAACACGUACACAAUUUUAGGCGCAGGUUGAGAAAAACCCGCACAUUCAAGGGAAUCAAAGUUUGAAAUUGAAGCUAUAGCCUAUAGAAAUGCAAAUAUCUUUGUGCUUUUUAUACUAACUAAAGUGGUAACUAACUAAUUACGAACAAGAAAAAAGAAAGAAUUGUGACGGAUUAUAAUUUUCCCGUCAUUUGGCCAAAGAUAUGUUGGGCAUAUAAAACCUGCUUGCAGUCUUCUAUUUCGACUUCUGUGUUUUCAUGUUGGUGUUCAACUCAAGAAAGUGAGAAAUAGAUUCUCUAUUUAAAACUGCCUAACUGGUCAAUGUGCAAAGGCAAAUCUCAAGUCAAUAUUUGAAUUCCGAUAAUUCUGAGUUUGAACUUGUUUCCUGAACAUAAAUGUGAUACAGACAUACGACUAACAAUUCAUACAUUUAUAUGGUAUUAUAAGAAGGUAUUUUUUUAUGAAAAUAGAACAGAGAAAGAUUAAAAAUUCGCUUGAUUUGUUGUCGAUGUUUUUACUUUGGCCUUGAGAACUAUAUUUAUAUAUAUUGUCGACUGUUAUUAUACACGAAAUUUUCACACGAAAGCGAACAACGCAAACUGCGAAAUUAGACACCAGGGGCCGGUUGUAUAAAAACGUAGUUAGCGCUAACUGCAGUUAAAAAGUAGUUAAAAAGCCUUAAAAAAUAGUUAACUUUAAUCACGUAGUUAAGCCUGUUGUAUAAAAGUGUAGUUAGCCUUAACUGCAGUUAAAAAGUAGUUAAAGUUAACUAUGCUUUAGGGUAUAGUUAACUGUCCAAAACGUAGUUAAAAAUGGUGUUUGUAUAGGAGUGCACAACAUUUUUCAGUAAAACAACAAUGAAAAGCAACGCUUACCUGAGAUUUUCAACCGCUAUCUUCCCUGUGAAUGUUUCCUGACAAUAUAAACUCUUCAAACGCUAUCGCUUUGGUGUUUUUGCGAAAACAGAACAUAUUUUUGCCCAGGACGACUUCUCGAAGACGAAGUUUGGUCCAUUACACCAAGAAACACUGAUAUAUGAUUGCCAAACAGCUAUACCUUGGUUUAACGUAGGCAUCUCAAGGAAAAACUGCAUUCUUUUAUGAUUUUUGUGGCGGUUUUUCCUUGUUUUCUUGUAUAUUUUUCACUGUUUUCUAGUGUUUUGAAUAAAAUUCCCGCCUAUUUGCAAAAUACGAGUCCACAAUCAUGUUGAAAAUGUGUGUCAGCGGUCGUUAUUCGCUGCUUACUUUAUGUCAUUUUGUGUUUAAACGCCCCACGCAAGCCCCACGCACAGUUAACUACGUGAUUAGUUAACUAUCCGACUAACUACGUUUUGUGCAACGCAGUUAAGUCAUGUAGUUAACUAAUUACAGUUAAGGAUUUAACUGCAGUGAUUAACGCUAACUACAGUUAGCGCUAACUACGUUUUUAUACAACCGGCCCCAGGGGGCGGAAUAGGAUUGGUUGAAAUUUUCCUUUGCGGUCACGCCGAAAAUUGCGUAAAUUGCAUAGCUAUGUAUGAUAAUUCAUAGUUGCUCAGCGUCCGCCAUCAUGGACAUGACAUUUUUUGAAUAAUGUUAAAUUAGUUAUGCAAAAUACUGCUUACGCAAGUGUACGGCAUUAGUGUUGAUUGAUCGCAGACUGUUUCUCCGCCGCUCCAGGAGGGGUGGGCUGAGAUAAGUCUGCUAUCGCAGACUAAAGGCCCUUUUACGCGGUGCAAUUUUUCAUGCAACUUGUCUCGCAAUGUUUAAAAAAAGACUUUGAUAAUGCAUUGCAAGAGGUGUUACACGCUGCAAUGAUAUUCAUGCAACUCGCAACGAUACGGCACAGAGGCAUGCGAAGAGAAUAGGGAGAGGCGCAAUUUGGCGCCAAAUUUUAAUUAAAGUAAAGCGUGUACUGGGGAGAGCCAAUAGGAACUCUCCAAGCAUUAAACAUUGCGAGACAAGUUGCACGAAGCCAUGUUACACGCUGCAAUGCUAAAAAUAAUUAGUGCAAUCGUUGCCAAAAGUAGAACCGACUUCUACUUUCUGCAAUGCUUCAUGCAACUUGUCUCGCAACGAUUUUGACCAUUGCAAGGCAUGUUAAAUGGUGCAAUGACUCGUGCAACUUGUCUCGCAACGCCAUUGCGAGACAAGUUGCAUGAGAAAUUGCACCGUGUAACAGGGCCUUAACUAACAAUGAUCGCAUGAGCGGCUUUUAGUUCGAACUGCAUGAGCAUUGAAGUUGAAAAACUAUGUAACGUGAUAUUUAACAUAAACGUUGCUGGGUUGAAUCCGAGAAGGAAACUUUUCUUUGUUAAAGUUUGCCUGUCCAAAACAAACAACUAACAAGGCGACAAAACGUCUAAAACACAAAAAUCGCAAAAAAAUAAGAAACACGUGUUAGGGAAAUAAGAUUACAACCCACUGAUCAGGUCAUGUAAAUUUCAUUUUUUCAAUUGAAUUAAACUCCUAAGCUGCUGGCAGAAUGUCUUCGAGCCACAUGCGCAGUUCAUAUGUCUCCAUCAACAAGAAGGAAAAAGCUGUCAAAGUCGACACAAUGCCGUCCUCAAUUUGGCUUUUCCAAAAAGUAUAAUCAGUAAAUACCCAGCGUUCGCUUGCUUUCCUGCGUUUAGCCCCGUUUCUCAGGAUACGAGGUUCCGAUUGGGAAUUAUGAAUAAGGUCUAGGAAACUCAGCCAAACAUAUUUAAUCGUUAUGCUCCAGCAAUUUCAAAUAUGUAUAAAUUGUCUGCAUUAUGGAUAAAUUUAACAUAUUUUUGUGCCCAAAUUUGUUGUGAGAUAUAAUUUCUGACAAGGUUUCGCUGCCCAUUCUACUGACUUACAUUAUAUUAAUUAAUUUAAUAUUUUACCCAUGGAGGCAGUAACAUACCAAAAGAUGUUCAAAAUUUUCUCAAAUUUCCGUAAUGCGAACGAAUUUGUUAUGCCAAAUUUGAAUACAUUAAUAUCCCCCAAAGUUUUAUGUCGUAACAAACUCAUAAACCUUACUACACUACAGGCUAGAACAUAUCGGACAGGACAUACUUUAGUCCUUACCGUGCUUUCUUCCUUGUUUUCAAGUCUUUUCAAAUGUUUUGUUAAUUUCAAAAACACAACAUAAGGCAAAAUAAUGAAAGAGAUUUGGAACAUCGAGACAUGCAGUUUUUUAUCCGAGUUUUGUUUAAAAUUAUAAAAUGGCAGGAAAUUUGUCUAGCUUUGAGAAAUGCACUUGUAAUGUUUCCAAUACUAGUUGUGAGGUUAGUAAUAAAAAGAGUCCAAUCAACUUAUUUAAAACAUAGUUACAGCAGCUACUUAAUUAAUGCACGGAAAUUAGUUUUUUUACACAUACGUCUUUCUCAUUAAUAAGUGGUGUAGGUUACAAAAUUUUUUGGUUAGUUAUUCGGAGUGGAUGUGUGUUAUAUGUACAUGUUGUCGCUGUAUUAUACUCGCUGUAUUAUUAUCACUUACAAAGACAUUUUUGUUAUAGCAUUACUUUUAAUUGUCCAACAUAAUAAAAUAUCUAUUGGAUUCGUCUUCCACCAAUUUGGCAAAAUAUUAAGUUUCAACUUCAAUAUUUGGCACAUUGGGCUUAGAAGAAUCCAAUUUUCAGUUGAGAUGAUGAUUAAUUUUAACAUAGUUGUUGUUUUCCUAAUGCCAGUAGGGCUAGGUUUUGCCGUGUAUAGACCGCGUUUCCAUGUAAAAGGAAACAGGACGUCUUCAUGACGCUAUUAAUAUACAAGAAUAUAUUUUCUAAUUUAUUUUAUUGUUUCCCAUCCAAGCAUAUUGUUCUUUCUUUAGGUUUUGAAAUCUUCCAAUAGACCUGCCUGUCUCGCUGCCUGCAAAUGGAUCCCCGUUCGCGAUGGAAAAGCCAUAUAUACCUGCCAUCGACUGUGCAUGCUUGUAAGAACAUAAUUAUAGUCGUUUUACCUCAAAAGGUGGCCACAAAAGCCUGUUUCAUCCAAACGACAUAUCAUCAGGUGGCUGACAAAUUUCGAAAAGUGGGCUGCUUAAAUGUUUAGGGUCGGAAACGUGGGCGUCAAACAAUACAUGCAUUCCUUCCAUUGUUAUCAUUGUUGACUAGAAAUUUCUCUUUAUGAUUACAUGUUGAAACUACAGGGUGUAUAAAAAAAAAGCGCAAUCCUCGACAGAAAUGUAAAUUGCUAAACAAAUAAUAAACGAAAACGUUAAAGUUUACAUUCAUUUUAAAGCGUAGCCAUUCAGCUUUCUAACAGUGGGUUGUUUCUUAAAUUUGACUCAUUGGUUCGCGGGUAAUAAUACUUCACGUUAUUGCGAUUGGAGAUUAAAAAAAUUGAGAUGGAAUAACAAAUCGUUCUCAUGAAAAUAACUGAUUUUUUCAUUAAAACAAAAAAAUGUUGCAUUUUAUUAAAUGGAUUGUAACAAUAAGUAUAAUUACGGCUUUUCUUCCACUAUUUUUAACUCAGUUUGAAACUUCAAAUGCGAUAUAAUUUUGGCUUGGACCAUCUAAGCUGACUGACAUCAACUUGCUAUAAUUUCUGUUUACAUUACAUCGCAAUUCGAUGACACUCUGGCUCAGACACCAGAAUGUUUUGACGAUUUUUAGCAUUCGUUUAGGAUUUUCAAACAACCUGGUCUCUUUUAAAAUACUUUUAAUUUGUUCUUACGUGGUUUUCCAGAUGUAAUGACGAGAACAUUAAAGUUUAAAGAAGAAAAUUCUAACAUUUAAACCGACUAAACAAUAACAUAGUAAACUUGCAUAAUUAAACAGCAACUAAAAAUGAUAGGUUUUACUAAAUCUUUUCCUGUGCAAUUAUUACUAGCAUUGGAGACAAGGAUAAUAGUGUGUUUGAAAGAGAAAAGAACAGGCUUUGAAGUAAGCCUAAAAGCGUUUAACUAGAAAUAGUAUUUCGAAAGUUAUUAAGCACCAAAGAUGAAUUGCGUUUAUUUUGAUACACCCUGUUUUCUCUCGAAACACAAAUUUCAGUUUUUUAUUCCUCCGUAUAAGAAACAGUGCGUUUUUGUGUUGGCAAGGUUAUGUCAAAAUCUUGUUUGUUGACACCGGAAAAGAAAGACUAAUACCUACUCUCUCUUUUUUUCUCUAGUGUUUCCCUUGAUCGACUUCCAUGCAGACUUAUAUUUUUAUUACAUUUUUGUCCGGAUUAUACUGUAUAAUACAUAUGCAUGUAAUUCGUUUGUGGCUCUUUUCAUGGUAAAACUUAUAAUUUUGAAACAGCUAGCAUUAGGCUUACUGUAAAGCAUGCACUUCAAAAAUAAUUCCUGUAUGUAUUCUGUUUUAUUUAGUGAUAAAAAUUUGUGUGUGCAUUUACGACGACAUUUGUCGAGAUUUGUGGUCCGUCAUUAUAUCGCAAUAAAUAUUCAAC